GGCUGCGGCGGCGGCAGCGGCGCAAGGGGUUUUAGCUACAGAACAGCUCAGAGAGAGUUCGAGAAGGUGAUGGAGGCCAGGAUUUCAGCUCCUGGGCUUUCAUUACCUCAAUGCAAAACCUUCUCUGACCAAGCCACAGAAUCCUUCUUUUCCUCUGAUUCCCUGGGCAGGAUCUCCAGCUUUAGUGAGCCAAAGAAUCACCUGGAGAGCUGCCCCUCGUGUGUUCAGGGAGAGAAUACACAGCACGUAUUUUAAGGGGACCAGAGUUUCCUGGGAACAGUUGUAUGAACCUGAAGAUGGAUCAUGACUAAAGUGUUGAAGACUUGUUUGGGCUGCUGAAUGACUUGGUUCCUCUGGUGUGGAAAGUAUUGUCAGUGACCACAGAGUGUGAGCAAACAUUAAGUCAUGUGUGGAAACUGUGAGUACAUGGCCAUGUCCAAGGGAGAAAAUAGACAGGUGAUUAAUGCAAAUCCUGAUUUGGACAAACUCUUCUAGUGAGAGUACUACUUUCACAAACCUGACCAAGAGCAUGUUCA